GGGUACACAAUAAAUAACUGACUUUUAAUCAGGUGGUCAUAGGUUCGAAUCCUAUAGCGCCCA
rnacentral:tRNA from 1 species